GGCCGCUUGGCCCAAUGGUAAGGCGUCUGACUACGACGAGUUGCGAAUACGCAAUUCUAAGCUUAUCAGGAGAUUCUGGGUUCGAGCCCCAGGGUGGUCA